rnacentral:rRNA from 1 species
AUGAACGCUUGCGGCGUGCCUAAUACCUGCAAGGCGAGCGCACAGAUGAGGAGCUUGCUCCUCUGACGUUAGCGGCGGACGGGUGAGUAACACGUGGAUAACCUACCUAUAAGACUGGGAUAACUUCGGGAAACCGGAGCUAAUACCGGAUAAUAUAUUGAACCGCAUGGUUCAAUAGUGAAAGACGGUUUUGCUGUCACUUAUAGAUGGAUCCGCGCCGCAUUAGCUAGUUGGUAAGGUAACGGCUUACCAAGGCGACGAUGCGUAGCCGACCUGAGAGGGUGAUCGGCCACACUGGAACUGAGACACGGUCCAGACUCCUACGGGAGGCAGCAGUAGGGAAUCUUCCGCAAUGGGCGAAAGCCUGACGGAGCAACGCCGCGUGAGUGAUGAAGGUCUUCGGAUCGUAAAACUCUGUUAUUAGGGAAGAACAAAUGUGUAAGUAACUAUGCACGUCUUGACGGUACCUAAUCAGAAAGCCACGGCUAACUACGUG